rnacentral:lncRNA from 1 species
AUUAACAAUGGAGGAGGUUGAGAGGGGAUGUCAUCAAUGUCCAUAAGUACCUGAAGGGAGGAAGUCAAGAGGAUGGAGCCAGAUUCUUCUUGGUGGUGCCAAACAACAGGACAAGAGGCAAUAGGCAGAAACUGAUGGACAGAAAAUUUCACCUGAACAUGAGGAAGAACUCCUUUACUGUGUGGGUGACCAUGCACUGAAACAGAUUGUCCAGAGAGGGUGUGGAGUCUCCCUCACUUGAGAUACUCAAGAAGUACCUGGAUACAAUCCUGUGCCUUGUGCUCUAGGAUGGCCCUGCUUGAGCAGGGGGCUUGGACCAGAUGUCUCACUGUGGUAUCUUCCAACCUGACCCAUUCUGUAUUUCUGUGAUUCUGUGAUUCUGUGGUUCUGUGUCUCUCUCUUAGGUUAACAUCUCUAAUUUGUUUGCCUGGUUGUCAGGUGUAGAGAUUUUCCUUUCCCAGUUGUUAUUUGUACAGAUGACAAGUGUCCAGAAUGGGCAGUGAGAGGUGUUCAGUAUUCAUUUCUAGUGAGAGAAUUUGUUUUUUUUUUUUAUUUUUACCUCUAGAGCCAUAGGCCAUUUUCAAAUCCCAGGGAGCCUGGAAGAGGCUGGUCUCAGGUCUACCUUCUGACUGUCUCUCUGACCCCACGACACACCGACAUCCAAGAGGCACAGCAGCGCAGGUCAGCUGGCUUUAGCUGGACCACCUUACAGGCUGCAGAGCUGCCUCCUGUAGAAGAGAAGACGAUUCCACCAUCACUCCCAUGAAUCUGGUGCUACACUGUGUGCAUGCUGCAGCUCACCUGUACAUGUCAGAGCAAUGAAGAAAUCAUCAAAGACUUUGUUCUGAUUCCACUGCUGCUGAGCCCUGGAGCUGGGGUUUCACAUGGAGGCGUUGAGUCUGUUCUCAGUACUUAUUCCAACAACUGGGAGACGUGUAAAAUCUGCUUCAAAAGGUUGGAUUUCAUGAGCACAUUUGACCAGAGAAAGACGGUGGAACACAGUACACAGACAGGGACUGUUUCAUUGACAUCUCCACUUACAAGGCCUCCUCACCUCUAAUUUCAUUAGGGCUUAUAUACAUGGGCAAAAAUGGUCACAUUUUUCAAUGAAACCAAAGAAGUUAAAUUCUUUAGGAACUGGUAAAUGUUUUAUUUGAGGCUUUCAGUGAGCAUAUAGGCUUUUUUCUUCUUG